rnacentral:rRNA from 1 species
UACGAAGGGGGCUAGCGUUGUUCGGAAUUACUGGGCGUAAAGCGCACGUAGGCGGAUACUUAAGUCAGGGGUGAAAUCCCGGGGCUCAACCCCGGAACUGCCUUUGAUACUGGGUAUCUCGAGUCCGAGAGAGGUGAGUGGAAUUCCGAGUGUAGAGGUGAAAUUCGUAGAUAUCUGGAGGAACACCGGUGGCGAAGGCGGCAUCCUGGACCAACACUGACGCUGAGGAGCGAAAGCCAGGGGAGCAAACGGG